GGCUGAAGCAGGAUUUUGUUGGUCAAGAAGUUGUAGAGCUUUUGAUUCUAGGUCUGAGACUGAAGAUUUAUAUUCUGUUACUGAGUUUAGAGAGAAAGAAAAGGUAGAAAAGUAGUAAUGGUUGAUUAGAGAGGGAAUUUCUUAGUUUAUAUGAAGUAGAGCUUUGAAUUUGAGGCUUUAAAUGAGAGAUCUGUGUUGAACAAAGAGAGAUUUAUGGAUUCUUCGGAGAUUUCAAUAAAGGGUAACGGUGGA
rnacentral:misc_RNA from 1 species